rnacentral:rRNA from 1 species
UACAGAGGUCUCAAGCGUUGUUCGGAUUCAUUGGGCGUAAAGGGUGCGUAGGUGGCGCUGUAAGUCGGGUGUGAAAUUUCGGAGCUUAACUCCGAAACUGCAUUCGAUACUGCGGUGCUUGAGGACUGGAGAGGAGACUGGAAUUUACGGUGUAGCGGUGAAAUGCGUAGAGAUCAUGAGGAAGACCAGUGGCGAAGGCGGGUCUCUUGGACAGUUCCUGACACUGAGACACGAAGGCCAGGGGAGCAAACGGG